UAAUAAACCAGCUCUUGUCCUACAGUCCAGGUAGGGGCGCUGACUCUGUAACUGUGGUUCCAGUAACUCCAGAGAAGUGGAGAAGCAGAGAAUCCAUCCAGAGCUGUUUUAUGGAGAGACUACCUACUAUCUAUAGAUUCCAGUUAUAUCAGAAAAUUACUGAUUACCACUAGAGGGAGCCCGCGCGCAAGCAGAAAAUGAAUGGGGAUGAAUGGAUCUAAACGGCUAAAAAUACAUAUGGAAGCGAGUAACUAAUUUAGGAUUAGGUAUUGUGCUAAACAUACAAAGAAAACGUACAUAUAAACGUACAUAUUAUUGUAUGCUUGCUUUUCUACAGCAAACAGGUUUAUACAGUAAAGGAGCUAUCAUCACUGCUACAGUGUGCAUUGAGACUGGCCGGUGAGCUGGAGUGUUGGAGUUACAGAAAGACCCUGUGGUCCAGCUCUGAUCUGCAGUCCAGACAUCUGUGUUCAGACUUUUCUCCUUUGGAGGAAGCAUCAGAAGAAAUAUAUAAAAAAAAAAAAACACUGUUAAAGAUAUUGGGGGAUAGGGGGAUUCCUGUUCCAUCCUGUGGUACAACUGAGGAGGAUUGAGAGUUUGACAUUCAAUUACCUCUUCCAGCAUCAGUCCCACUGCUGGAGACUGAACUGAAGGCCAUCCACUUCCAACUCAUCGUCUGCUUUUAGUAUCAAGUAUACUUUGUGGAUUAACUUUAUCUUUACAAAAACACUUAAUUAGGCAGUUUCUGAAAGAUGUUGAGC
rnacentral:lncRNA from 1 species